UGUGUAUUUAGUCUGUUUCCUCCCUUGUGUUGUUAGAUCUUCAGGUCUUCCCUCCUGUUUUCAGUUGGACUGUUUGGAUUUUAUUUGCUUGGACUUUUUCACUCUCGCGGGUAGGUGUGGCCGACCAUCAUACCCCUCACUGUCCUCUUCCUUUGCGCUCGCCUGUACUUUUCCAUGGCUGACGGUUUCUAUGGCAACAAAAGUGGAUGAAGACGAGGCCGGGGCUUGACAGAGCGCUGUCAGGCAGACAGCACAGGGCGGCUGGGAACCUCAUGAGAUGUAACAAAAUGUAUCCACCAAACUCAGCAGAGUAUUUUACAGCAUCAAUGGAUAUUUCCUGAUCUGGAAAUGAAGCCAGGAUGAUCUGCAUCAGCAGAGUAACCAGUCAGCUCACAGGUCAGCUUUAAAUGAAAAAUGCAAAGCAUGCUGGAAAUGACAGUUCAGAGAGGCAGCAUGGGAUAAAGAGGAACCUACAAGAACUCAUUAAACCUCCUGUGUUCAUACUGUUAUCAUGCAUCUCCUCUGAAACGAUGAGGCUUCUUUGUAUGUAAGAAAAUAAAGGGACAGUUGGCACGAACAGCAUGGCGAACUUCAUCAACAGCAAAUCCAAGGAACACUUGAAAAGAAAGAUUAGAUUAAAGAGCGGUGGAAACCUCAUGGCUGCAGUGAAUGGACAACACGUCUUCAGCUCAAGUACUCAGAAGAGCCAGCUAUACCAAAUAACAAAUAUUCACAUUAUCCUUGCAUAUAUAGCAGAACUAUUACCUCAGUGUCUUUAUUCAAUGCCAUGGAGAUAAUUCCCAGAGUAAAUGUACUGCAUUAAUUACAGCGGCUGCAGGGACGUGAGAUAUUAAAUUCUGAUGAUAGAGGAGCAAGAGCAUUUGUGUGUAAAAUAUUUGCCCUCUUCUCUUUCAGGGUUAACAUCCAUUGGGGAGAAUAAUUCAGUGUUACAUCCUUUUUAUUUAGUUUUCCUUUCUGUUUCUUUAUACUGCUGGAAGGUAACAGUAUGAAUGCGCCUUUUAAGAGUUGAGUGUUUUGUAGCAUUUCACCCUGCUGCUUCCAAAACUGCUUCAGCAAGAGAACCCAUUAAAUCCGAUUCUGUAGAUCUA